UACGUAGGGUGCUAGCGUUGUCCGGAAUCAUUGGGCGUAAAGCGCGCGUAGGCGGCCUGCUAAGUCAGACGUGAAAUCCCUCGGCUUAACCGGGGAACUGCGUCUGAUACUGGAUGGCUAGAGGUUGGGAGAGGGAUGCGGAAUUCCAGGUGUAGCGGUGAAAUGCGUAGAUAUCUGGAGGAACACCGGUGGCGAAGGCGGCAUCCUGGACCAAUUCUGACGCUGAGGAGCGAAAGCCAGGGGAGCAAACGGG
rnacentral:rRNA from 1 species